CUCGGGUAACCGCCAUAAGGAACAAAGAGAAGAAGAGUCGCUGCUCACACUCCAGUCCAGUAGGUGGUGGUAAUGCACCUUACGUUGGUUUGCCAACCGCCAUUAAAACCAAAAGAAGAAGAAGCAGAGGAGUUUCGCGAGUGACGUCAGACCAACAUGGCUGAGCACUCUGUGAACAUCGACGCAGACAGCGAGGUGACUCUGAUCCUGGACCCAGAGAAGAGCACAUUUCUGGGUAAUGCUCCUCUGUACCAGUCAGCCGAUGACCCUACUACAUUCUACCUUGAUGAAGCCUUGACGGUCAGAGUGAACUUGUAUACUACUGUAACCAAGCAAGAGGAUAACGUGUACAUCGUGGAUGCUGCACCCCUGCCACAAAAUGAAUCUUUUGAUACAGAGCAAACCCUCUUUCUGAUCGAUUUGAUGCGCCAGCAGUUGGAAGCAGACGGCGAAAGUCUCCUUCGAGCUUUAAAGGAGUUCAAUCCCCGAAUAAAGUCGGGCAAAAGCCGCAAGAAACAUAUGUGGAGGGAGCUGGCUACUAGACUCUCCAAACACUUUGGGCAGGUCUUCCAUCCUGAUCAUGUGGCGAGAACAUGGUACGCUCUUGAGGACGAAUACAAAAAAGCGAAAGACGAUAAUAGAAUGAGUGGUCAAGAAGCCGUGACGUUCCAGUUUUUUAGUGAGAUGGAAGAGCUGUUGGGCGGGCAUCAUGACGUCGAAUUUCCCGUCGUUGGCACGGUGAAGGGUGUAGAGGUGCGCAGGCCAAAGGCAUUGAAUGUGGACGGUGGAAGAGAAUCGCCUGCGACGGCGCACACGGGCUCGGCCACGCCAGCAGCAACACCAACGGCUUCAGCGACACCAACGCGACCUUCGACGCUCAAGCGGAGACGGAGAGAUGAGCACUAUUUGACUCUUCUGGACUUUUUAAAGGAAUCUACGGCAGCUCGGCGGCGGCGCCACGAGGAAACUCUAGCCCAGAUGAAAUCCGCUCAGGACGGGUUUGAGGCUCUGAUGAACAGAUUCCUGGACAAACUUUGACCUUCUCUGUGCAGCCACACCAAACGAACAUUCAGCUCUGCUAUUUCCUUUAUACUUUUUUUUUUUCUCCAUGUGUAGUUGUUUUGUUUGUUUGUUUGUUUGUUUAAUGCGUAGUGUAGCGUAUAUGACUGACGACAAUGCAAAAAGCAUUUUUUUUUAUACCAAUUUAGUUGCAAUUUAUUGCGCAAAAUAUACUUGCAUAACAUUUGACUUCCUGAAAACCUCAAGUAAAGGAGUUUACAAACUA
ensembl:lncRNA